CCUACGGGCGGCAGCAGUGGGGAAUAUUGGGCAAUGGGCGCAAGCCUGACCCAGCAACGCCGCGUGAGUGAAGAAGUAUUUCGGUAUGUAAAGCUCUAUCAGCAGGGAAGAAAAUGACGGUACCUGACUAAGAAGCCCCGGCUAACUACGUGCCAGCAGCCGCGGUAAUACGUAGGGGGCCAGCGUUAUCCGGAUUUACUGGGUGUAAAGGGAGCGUAGACGGCGGAACAAGUCAGAAGUGAAAACCCGGGGCUCAACCCUGGGAGUGCUUUUGAAACUGUUUGGCUGGAGUGCAGGAGAGGUAAGCGGAAUUCGUAGUGUAGCGGUGAAAUGCGUAGAUAUUAGGAGGAACACCAGUGGCGAAGGCGGCUUACUGGACUGUAACUGACGUUGAGGCUCGAAAGCGUGGGGAGCAAACAGGAUUAGAUACCCUUGUAGUC
rnacentral:rRNA from 1 species